AACAACAUAAGGUUAAGCACUGAAUACUGAAUAAUAGAGAACUUGUUCUACGAAUCAAGAAUAUAAAACAAGCUCAGGAUUUAUAUCUGAGGGUCUUUAAGACCAUGAACUAUGUCCUGAGGUUAUUAAGUAUUUCUACUACAACCUUUAACAGUCAUUAGACUAUACAGACCUUAUAUUAGGAUCAGCCCUUCAUACCAUGUAACAUGCACAAACAUCUAAAUGCUAACGCGUACAUAAUCCCCUAUAUUAAGGUUGUUCAUCUCAGUUUGACUUUAGGAUUUCCGCACUAAAGAAAGUUUAGUUUGGAACUAGCUUAUCAAUGGUUCUAGAAUUUUA
rnacentral:lncRNA from 1 species